AUGUGCUCGCCGAGGUCCUCCGCCGCGCUGGAUCGCCGCCUCCCGCUGCGUCUGCACGGCCUGGCGCGACGCCAUCGAUGCGCGCGACCUCCUGCACGCCGACCUGUUCCCGCUCUCCCUCGCCGGCCUCUUCGUCCACUUCGACGAGCACAAGUAUCCCGAAUUCCUCGCCCGCCCCUCCUCAGUGGCUGGCGCCCCCGCCAUCAGCGGCAACCUCAGCUUCCUGCCCUCCGCCACCCCUCAUGCCGGCACUAUAUGGGACGACGACUGCGAUGA
rnacentral:rRNA from 1 species